rnacentral:sRNA from 1 species
GUCUCCAAUCCUCCAUUCUCCUGUUUGAUGUCUUCAUCGUGGUCCUUGCUGACCUGUGAUACUGGCUGUUCGUUGAAGCGACCUGCACGCCGAUAUAGAAAAUGGAAUCUUCACGCUUCUGAUUGAUUCGCCUUCAAUCAUUUACGUUUUGUUCCUCCUGGUGUCUUGAUGAAGCAGUGGCCCCGCCGAUUUUGAGAAUUGCUAUUGCUGAAUCGAACACGGUAGUUUUGACAGAUAAAUCUCACAUUGUACAUACAAGAAGAAGGGCGGAUAAAAGGAAAGGGCCGAAACACAAGAAAGAAAGAAUAAUUGACUGAAGAUAGACAGGACAUCAUUGUUGGGCCUCGUUGUAAGUUCACACCAUGGCGCUUCCAACAGACAUGAAUGCAAUGUCGGAUAUCACCGCAUCCAUGGUUACAACUGCAGCCGAGUCGUCCAUACCGUUGGCUUCUCUGCCACCACCCUCUUCCCUUCCCCUAAACCUCAGUGUCGUUAAUUCCACACUGUCAAAACUAGCGUUCUUAUCCCCGUCAUCCCAAGAUAUUUUACUCUAUCCUCUUCGCUUCAUUUACC